UGAGGAAUAUUGGUCAAUGGAGGCAACUCUGAACCAGCCAUGCCGCGUGAAGGAAGAAUGUCCUACGGAUUGUAAACUUCUUUUAUUUGGGAAGAAACCUUUCUACGUGUAGAAAGCUGACGGUACCAAACGAAUAAGGACCGGCUAACUCCGUGCCAGCAGCCGCGGUAAUACGGAGGGUCCAAGCGUUAUCCGGAAUCAUUGGGUUUAAAGGGUUCGCAGGCGGUUCAUUAAGUCAGUGGUGAAAUCUCUCGGCUCAACCGAGAAACUGCCAUUGAUACUGAUGGACUUGAAUAUAGUUGGAGUAGGCGGAAUGUGUAGUGUAGCGGUGAAAUGCUUAGAUAUUACACAGAACACCGAUAGCGAAGGCAGCUUACUAAACUAUUAUUGACGCUCAUGAACGAAAGCGUGGGGAGCGAACAGG
rnacentral:rRNA from 1 species